CCUACGGGGGGCAGCAGUGAGGAAUAUUGGUCAAUGGACGAGAGUCUGAACCAGCCAAGUAGCGUGAAGGAUGACUGCCCUAUGGGUUGUAAACUUCUUUUAUAUGGGAAUAAAAUGUUCCACGUGUGGGAUUUUGUAUGUACCAUAUGAAUAAGGAUCGGCUAACUCCGUGCCAGCAGCCGCGGUAAUACGGAGGAUCCGAGCGUUAUCCGGAUUUAUUGGGUUUAAAGGGAGCGUAGGUGGAUUGUUAAGUCAGUUGUGAAAGUUUGCGGCUCAACCGUAAAAUUGCAGUUGAAACUGGCAGUCUUGAGUACAGUAGAGGUGGGCGGAAUUCGUGGUGUAGCGGUGAAAUGCUUAGUUAUCACGAAGAACUCCGAUUGCGAAGGCAGUUCACUGGACUGCAACUGACACUGAGGCUCGAAAGUGUGGGUAUCAAACAGGAUUAGAUACCCGGGUAGUC
rnacentral:rRNA from 1 species